CAGAUUUACUUCGGUAAUGACGUUAGGAAAGCGAGCGGCGGAUGGGUGAGUAACACGUGGGGAACCUGCCCCAUAGUCUGGGAUACCACUUGGAAACAGGUGCUAAUACCGGAUAAGAAAGCAGAUCGCAUGAUCAGCUUUUAAAAGGCGGCGUAAGCUGUCGCUAUGGGAUGGCCCCGCGGUGCAUUAGCUAGUUGGUAAGGUAAAGGCUUACCAAGGCGAUGAUGCAUAGCCGAGUUGAGAGACUGAUCGGCCACAUUGGGACUGAGACACGGCCCAAACUCCUACGGGAGGCAGCAGUAGGGAAUCUUCCACAAUGGACGCAAGUCUGAUGGAGCAACGCCGCGUGAGUGAAGAAGGUUUUCGGAUCGUAAAGCUCUGUUGUUGGUGAAGAAGGAUAGAGGUAGUAACUGGCCUUUAUUUGACGGUAAUCAACCAGAAAGUCACGGCUAACUACGUGCCAGCAGCCGCGGUAAUACGUAGGUGGCAAGCGUUGUCCGGAUUUAUUGGGCGUAAAGCGAGCGCAGGCGGAAGAAUAAGUCUGAUGUGAAAGCCCUCGGCUUAACCGAGGAACUGCAUCGGAAACUGUUUUUCUUGAGUGCAGAAGAGGAGAGUGGAACUCCAUGUGUAGCGGUGGAAUGCGUAGAUAUAUGGAAGAACACCAGUGGCGAAGGCGGCUCUCUGGUCUGCAACUGACGCU
rnacentral:rRNA from 1 species